CAACUUAUGCCUUGCAGGGGAAAUACCAUGUCAUAAAAAUAGUUUUCUCAGGGGGGGAGGUUCAUCCUUUGUACUUUGGGUGUACUACUGAUCCCUGUGAUUUCCCCAAAUGUGGGGAACUCAGCUGCAUAAUUUAUGUUAAUGAGGGGAUUACAUUUAUGAUUUCCUUGU
rnacentral:snRNA from 1 species